rnacentral:rRNA from 1 species
ACGAACGCUGGCGGCGUGCUUAACACAUGCCAGUCGAACGGAAAGGCCCUGCUUUUGUGGGGUGCUCGAGUGGCGAACGGGUGAGUAACACGUGAGUAACCUGCCCUUGACUUUGGGAUAACUUCAGGAAACUGGGGCUAAUACCGGCUAGGAGCUCCUGCUGCAUGGUGGGGGUUGGAAAGUUUCGGCGGUUGGGGGUGGACUCGCGGCUUAUCAGCUUGUUGGUGGGGUAGUGGCUUACCAAGGCUUUGACGGGUAGCCGGCCUGAGAGGGUGACCGGCCACAUUGGGACUGAGAUACGGCCCAGACUCCUACGGGAGGCAGCAGUGGGGAAUAUUGCACAAUGGGCGGAAGCCUGAUGCAGCAACGCCGCGUGCGGGAUGACGGCCUUCGGGUUGUAAACCGCUUUCGCCUGUGACGAAGCGUGAGUGACGGUAAUGGGUAAAGAAGCACCGGCUAACUACGUG